UCAUCAUCUACAUAAAUAUGCUUGUUUAUUGUUGAUUUUGAAGAGGUCUGUAGUUUUGGGAGUGUUUCUCUGUGCAGUCUUUUCUCCGGUCCAUCCAGCAUGCUCGCAGGCUGGACACAAGGGACCAGGUGCAGUAAGAUUUUGUCAGGACACAACUGAUAAAACCUGGCAUCCUGUUGGUUCCACUUGGAGGAACAGUAAGUGUAUGGACUGUGAUUGUACUGCUGAGUCAAUGAGAU